CAUACACGCGCGCGCGCAAAUAUUUACUCUCUGCCACAUCGAAUAAAUCCAGGCACAUUUUCCUGCAAAUACUCUAGCGCGCGCACACGUACUUAGCUGGCGGCCACGUCCUCUGUCUCUCACUGACAAAUACAGACAUUUACCCACGUAGGCCAGGAGAGCGCUAACCACGGUCCUGUGACUCCACGCAGGUUCCUGGGACACGCCUUUUACAUUGUUACUGAACCGAUCAGCGAACACGGACAAACCUGCCAACACUUAAGUCUACUCGCUGGAUUUCAUCUCCAUGGCAACAAGCAUGGAAGUAAACAAGAUAUUAAGAUGAUGUUUUCCUUCUGAGGCCAAGAGGUGACUCCAGCAGGAAUUCUGAAGAGCCA
ensembl:lncRNA